rnacentral:rRNA from 1 species
GAUGAACGCUGGCGGCAGGCCUAACACAUGCAAGUCGAACGGCAGCACAGGAGAGCUUGCUCUCUGGGUGGCGAGUGGCGGACGGGUGAGGAAUACAUCGGAAUCUACCUUUUCGUGGGGGAUAACGUAGGGAAACUUACGCUAAUACCGCAUACGACCUUAGGGUGAAAGCGGAGGACCUUCGAGCGUCGCUCGGAUAGAUGAGCCGGUGUCGGAUUAGCUAGUUGGCGGGGUAACGACCCACCAAGGCGACGUUCCGUAGCUGGUAUGAGAGGAUGAUCAGGCACACUGGAACUGAGACACGGUCCAGACUCCUACGGGAGGCAGCAGUGGGGAAUAUUGGACAAUGGGCGCAAGCCUGAUCCAGCCAUGCCGCGUGGGUGAAGAAGGCCUUCGGGUUGUAAAGCCCUUUUGUUGGGAAAGAAAAGCAGUCGGUUAAUACCCGAUUGUUCUGACGGUACCCAAAGAAUAAGCACCGGCUAACUUCGUGCCAGCCGCCGCCGUAA